rnacentral:tRNA from 2 species
UGGGGAGGGGGGGAGUUGAACCCCCAUUAAUAAGUUUACAGCCUACCGCCUUAUACUCGGCCACCUAACC